UGAUGCUGCUGUCCUGUCUCAUACUGCUCCAGAGCCUUGAAAAACAGUUGUCAGGCCGCAUAGCGGCUGGAUGGACUGACCUGCCUGAAGGGAACAGAGUCUGAAACACAGCUGUUUGAGCAUGUGUCAUUUGGAGAGCAUGAAGAUGGAUAUCUGCAGCACAGACCCUGAGUAGGCAUGAUGGUGUCAUAACUGGAAAAGACACGUUGGAUGGAGCAAGGUAUGAC